rnacentral:rRNA from 1 species
GUGCCAGCAGCCGCGGUAAUACCGGCAGCCCGAGUGAUGGCCGAUCUUAUUGGGCCUAAAGCGUCCGUAGCUGGCCGCGCAAGUCCGUCGGGAAAUCCACCUGCCCAACAGGUGGGCGUCCGACGGAAACUGUGUGGCUUGGAACCGGAAGGCUCAGAGGGUACGUCCGGGGUAGGAGUGAAAUCCCGUAAUCCUGGACGGACCGCCGGUGGCGAAAGCGCCUCGGAAGAACGGACUCGACAGUGAGGGACGAAAGCUAGGGUCUCGAACCGGAUUAGAAACCCGAGUAGUCC